rnacentral:lncRNA from 1 species
GUUAGAAUUAGUUGGAGAGUUGAAUUUUAAUUUGAAAAUAGGUUACAAUAUCUGAAUCAUCUCUGUACUAUAUGUAACCUAGGAAUAAUCAGACUUACCAUCAAGACCUUUACACAUGUUUACUUAGCUUAGUCUAAGUAGUCUCUGCCCUGCCAAAUUUGCUGUUUCAUCAUGACGAUCAUGUCUAUUGUUCACUCAGUAUUUUAAUUAAUUCAUGUAUUUUUGUUACUCUAGGAUACAUGUUGGAACCGGAUCAAGAAAAAAGACCAGACAUCUAUCAAGUGUCUCACUUUGCCUUCAGAUUAGCUGGAAAGGAAUGUCCAGUGCCAAAUCUAUUUGUAAGUAUUUUUUCAUAGCUUAUACAGUAAUUAGAGCAUUUUAAAGCAUUGAGAAUGUUUUGAAGCAGUACUGGUAGAUUUGAGGUUUUGACUUUGUGUUUCUGAUGGCAGAACUCUCCCAUCCCCACCACGCUGCCGGAGCCACUAACAGCCAGUGACAUCGCUGCUAAGAAGAGCCUGACAAAAGCCAGGAUAACAGAGUCCGUAGGCCCCACGGAAACGUCCAUUGCUCCGAGGCAAAGGCCAAAAGCUGCCAACAGCAACGUCCUUCCACUGCCUAACUCAGUAACUCCAGUGAAAAUGACCGUUCCCUCUGGAACCGUCAGCAACGGCCAAAGUGCCCAAGGGAACGGACAGCAGGCGACUGUGCCGAUACAGAGCAGCAAUCAGCAGAAGAGAGUUUUACAGCAGCUGCAGCCUGGAGACCUGAGACUCCAACUCCAACAACAACCACAACAACAACCACCACCUCAUCAUCAACACCAUCAACAACAACAACAUAACAUGCACCACCAGCAACAACUCAAUGCACAACAGCUGCAGUACAUGCAGGUAAUCUUGAUAUAAGAUAUUGUCUUUUUUUUGUUAAACACAGAGACAUUAGUAGCAAGUGCUAUAAGUUCCAUGGUGGAGCAAGUAAGUUUAAUUGAUAUUAAAUAUUGACAGUGGAAUAUGUUACAGGGUGUGUGUGCACCAAUAAAUUAUGAAUAUUAAUGUAAAGUUACUUUAUU